CCUGACCCCAUGCCGAACUCAGAAGUGAAACGCCGUAGCGCCGAUGGUAGUGUGGGGUCUCCCCAUGCGAGAGUAGGGAACUGCCAGAC
rnacentral:rRNA from 3 species